CACGUAGGGUGCGAGCGUUGUCCGGAAUUAUUGGGCGUAAAGAGCUCGUAGGCGGUGUGUCGCGUCGGCCGUGAAAACCUGCAGCUUAACUGUGGGCUUGCGGUCGAUACGGGCAUCACUGGAGUUCGGCAGGGGAGACUGGAAUUCCUGGUGUAGCGGUGAAAUGCGCAGAUAUCAGGAGGAACACCGGUGGCGAAGGCGGCAUCCUGGACCAUUACUGACGCUGAGGCGCGAAAGCUAGGGGAGCAAACGGG
rnacentral:rRNA from 1 species